GAUGAACGCUAGCGGCAGGCCUAACACAUGCAAGUCGAGGGGCAGCACAGAAACAGCAAUGUUUUGGUGGCGACCGGCGGACGGGUGCGUAACGCGUAUGCAACCUACCUUUAACAGGGGGAUAACGGAGAGAAAUUUCCACUAAUACCCCAUAACAUCGAUCAAGGCAUCUUGAUUGGUUGAAAACUCCGGUGGUUAAAGAUGGGCAUGCGUUGUAUUAGGUAGUUGGUGAGGUAAUGGCUCACCAAGCCUACGAUACAUAGGGGGACUGAGAGGUUAGCCCCCCACACUGGUACUGAGACACGGACCAGACUCCUACGGGAGGCAGCAGUGAGGAAUAUUGGUCAAUGGGGGCAACCCUGAACCAGCCAUGCCGCGUGCAGGAAGACGGCUCUAUGAGUUGUAAACUGCUUUUAAACAGGGAUAAAGCACAGUAUGUAUACUGUGUUGAAGGUACUGUAAGAAUAAGGAUCGGCUAACUCCGUGCCAGCCGCCGCCGUAA
rnacentral:rRNA from 1 species